CGGGAGGCAGCAGUGGGGGAAUAUUGGACAAUGGGGAAACCUGAUCCAGUCAUGCCGCGUGUGUGAAGAAGCUUUCGUGUAAAGCACUUUAAGCAGUGAAGAAGACUCUCGGUUAAUACCCGGAGACGAUGACAUUAGCUGCAGAAUAAGCACCGGCUAACUCUGUGCCAGCAGCCGCGGUAAUACAGAGGGUGCAAGCGUUAAUCGGAAUUACUGGGCGUAAAGCGAGCGUAGGUGGCUUGAUAAGUCAGAUGUGAAAUCCCCGGGCUUAACCUGGGAACUGCAUCUGAAACUGUUAGGCUAGAGUAGGUGAGAGGGAAGUAGAAUUUCAGGUGUAGCGGUGAAAUGCGUAGAGAUCUGAAGGAAUACCGAUGGCGAAGGCAGCUUCCUGGCAUCAUACUGACACUGAGGCUCGAAAGCGUGGGUAGCAAACAGGAUUAGAUACCCUGGUAGUCCACGCCGUAAACGAUGUCUACUAGUCGUUGGGUCCCUUGAGGACUUAGUGACGCAGCUAACGCAAUAAGUAGACCGCCUGGGGAGUACGGCCGCAAGGUUAAAACUCAAAUGAAUUGACGGGGGCCCGCACAAGCGGUGGAGCAUGUGGUUUAAUUCGAUGCAACGCGAAGAACCUUACCUGGUCUUGACAUAUCUAGAAUCCUGCAGAGAUGCGGGAGUGCCUUCGGGAAUUAGAAUACAGGUGCUGCAUGGCUGUCGUCAGCUCGUGUCGUGAGAUGUUGGGUUAAGUCCCGCAACGAGCGCAACCCUUGUCCUUAGUUACCAGCGGGUUAAGCCGGGAACUCUAAGGAUACUGCCAGUGACAAACUGGAGGAAGGCGGGGACGACGUCAAGUCAUCAUGGCCCUUACGACCAGGGCUACACACGUGCUACAAUGGUAGGUACAGAGGGCAGCUACACAGCGAUGUGAUGCGAAUCUCAAAAAGCCUAUCGUAGUCCAGAUUGGAGUCUGCAACUCGACUCCAUGAAGUAGGAAUCGCUAGUAAUCGCGGAUCAGAAUGCCGCGGUGAAUACGUUCCCGGGCCUUGUACACACCGCCCGUCACACCAUGGGAGUUGAUUGCACCAGAAGUGGAUAGCUUAACCUUCGGGGAGGCGUUCACCACGGUGUGGUUGAUGACUGGGGUGAAGUCGAACAAGUGCUGGGACCC
rnacentral:rRNA from 1 species